AAGAGCUCACAUUUAUAAUCUGGCACCUUCGGUGUCCGAGUUGUAAUCUCUAGAAAUGUUUUCCGCGUUGGACCGCACACAAGUCUGUUGGAAUACAGCGGCAUAGUGGUGAGACCCCCGUAUAUGGUGCGGACGCCCAGCGCUUUGUGAUACAUUUUCGAAGAGUCGAGUUGUUUGGGAAUGCAGCUCAAAUUGGGUGGUAAAUUCCAUCUAAAGCUAAAUAUUGGCGAGAGACCGAUAGCGAACAAGUACCGUGAGGGAAAGAUGAAAAGCACUUUGGAAAGAGAGUUAACAGUACGUGAAAUUGUUGGAAGGGAAACGCUUGAAGUCAGACUUGCUUGCCGAGCAAUCGGUUUGCAGGCCAGCAUCAGUUUUCCGGGAUGGAUAAUGGUAGAGAGAAGGUAGCAGUUUCGGCUGUGUUAUAGCUCUCUGCUGGAUACAUCUUGGGGGACUGAGGAACGCAGUGUGCCUUUGGCGGGGGUUUCGACCUCUUCACACUUAGGAUGCUGGUGGAAUGGCUUUAAACGACCCGUCUUGAAACACGGACCA
rnacentral:rRNA from 1 species